rnacentral:rRNA from 1 species
GUACGGGAGGCAGCAGUGGGGAAUCUUCCGCAAUGGACGAAAGUCUGACGGAGCAACGCCGCGUGAGUGAAGAAGGUUUUCGGAUCGUAAAACUCUGUUUUCAGGGACGAAUGUGCCGAUUGUAAAUAAUGGUUGGUAAUGACGGUACCUGACAAGAAAGCCACGGCUAACUACGUGCCAGCAGCCGCGGUAAUACGUAGGUGGCAAGCGUUGUCCGGAAUUAUUGGGCGUAAAGCGCGCGCAGGUGGGAUAAUCAGUCUGAUGUUAAAGUUCGGGGCUUAACCCCGUGAAGCAUUGGAUACUGUUAUUCUUGAGUGCAGGAGAGGAAAGUGGAAUUCCUAGUGUAGCGGUGAAAUGCGUAGAUAUUAGGAGGAACACCAGUGGCGAAGGCGACUUUCUGGACUGUGUCUGACACUGAGGCGCGAAAGCCAGGGUAGUGAACGGGAUUAGAAACCCGUGUAGUCCU